rnacentral:miRNA from 1 species
AAAAUAACAUUAAUCAUUCAAUUUUAUCAUGAAUAACCAAGAUUUAAAAAAACAAAUGUCAUGUGAUGUUUUUAAGUGACCAUCUUGAUUUUUC